CCUACGGGAGGCAGCAGUGGGGAAUAUUGGACAAUGGGGGAAACCCUGAUCCAGCGACGCCGCGUGAGUGAAGAAGUAUUUCGGUACGUAAAGCUCUAUCAGCAGGGAAGAAGAAAUGACGGUACCUGAGUAAGAAGCGCCGGCUAAAUACGUGCCAGCAGCCGAGGUAAUACGUAUGGUGCAGGCGUUAUCCGGAUUUACUGGGUGAAAAGGGAGCGCAGGCGGCACGGCAAGCCUGAUGUGAAAGCCCGCGGCCCAACCGCGGGACUGCAUUGGGAACUACCGGGCUGGAGUGCCGGAGAGGUAGGCGGAAUUCCUAGUGUAGCGGUGAAAUGCGUAGAUAUUAGGAGGAACACCAGUGGCGAAGGCGGCCUACUGGACGGUGACUGACGCUGAGGCUCGAAAGCGUGGGGAGCAAACAGGAUUAGAUACCCCGGUAGUC
rnacentral:rRNA from 1 species